rnacentral:snRNA from 1 species
GUGCUUGCUUUGGCAGCACAUAUAUUAAAAUUGCAAUGAUACAGAGAAGAUUUGCAUGGCCCCUGUGCAAGGAUGACAUGCAAAUUCGUGAAGCAUUCCAUAUUCUU